CGUAACGGGAAGCAACGCGCGGCUGGGGACUUUCAAAUGAGACAUAAGUCUCUCUUUUAUCAUACCAAAAAUUGAUCGGUUAAAAACUAAAUUAAUCAACAUCGUUACACCUGUCUUGGCGGUAAACUUUAAAAGAAUAAUUUAACAAUACAAAAAAAAAUAAUAAUAAUAAUUAAAUUUACUAACAAGUGUUAUUGAAAAUUUACUGGAAAACUGUAGUCAGCUGGUGCUGACGGCAGUUGGAAAGUCAGUCGGAAAAACAACGUUAAACUAAAAGGACGAAACGUAAAAAAAAAAAAUACUGUGCGUGAGUGAAAUAAAAUAAAAAUCAAAAAUUCGUGUUAAUAAUUUUUAGCUUAAAUAAAUAAUCAGUGCCGAGAACAAAAAUAUUAGUGUUCGAGUGAUUUAAAAAUUAGUAAAUUGAUUAAAAAUUUGGAUCUUUAAUUAGAACUUAAAAAUAAAAUACAAAAAGUGAUUUUUUGAUAAAAAAAUAAAUUGAGUUUUAAUAAGAAAAAUAAUUAGUGAAUUGAAAAAAAAAAAUACUAUGAUUUAGAUAUUGUUGUAAAUUAAUUUUUGUUUAGUGAGAUAUAUAUAGUUUUAAUUGAGUUUAAUAAACGGCUUCAUCACGAGGUCCGACGAGUGGAGCAGUCUCCUGCCCAGCUCCACAAUUGUGGGUGCUGGUGGGACAACAUGGUUAGGACUGGGUGCCGGUGGUGGCGCCGGUGCAACAACUGGCAGUGGAAGUCCCGUUGAACUAGAUGGACAUUGGGGUAGAAAGUUAUAUGGUGCUAGUGGUGCACCACCACCUCAUCAUCAUCCAAGAACACCACUUGUAUUUGCACCACAAGACAUGAGACAAAUACUUAAAGAGGAACCUAUAACACGUGCUUGGCCACAACCAGCUCUUGCUGACACAGCAACAGUUGGUAUUGGAAGAGCAAAUUUUGAAAAACAACCACCUAGUAAUCUACGAAAAAGCAAUUUUUUUCAUUUUGUUAUUGCUCUUUAUGAUCGUGGUGGUCAACCAAUAGAAAUUUCAAAUACAUCGUUCAUUGGAUUUGUUGAAAAAGAUCAGGAAACUGAUGGACAAAAGACAAAUAAUGGAAUUCAAUACAGGCUUCGGUUGACUUAUGCCAAUGGACACAUUCAAGAACAGGAUAUUUUUGUGAGGCUCAUUGAUUCUGCAACAAAACAGGCAAUUAUGUAUGAAGGCCAGGAUAAAAAUCCCGAGAUGUGUCGAGUAUUGUUGACCCAUGAAGUCAUGUGCAGUCGUUGCUGUGAUAAAAAAAGUUGUGGAAAUAGAAAUGAAACACCAAGUGAUCCAGUUGUAAUCGACCGAUUCUUUCUUAAAUUUUUUCUAAAAUGCAAUCAAAAUUGUCUGAAGAAUGCGGGCAAUCCACGUGACAUGCGGCGAUUUCAGGUUAUUAUUUCAACUCAAGUUGGAGUUGAUGGACCACUUUUGGCAAUUUCCGACAACAUGUUUGUACACAAUAAUAGUAAACAUGGACGCAGAGCGAAACGACUAGAUCCUGGUGAUCAUGGUGAAUACAACAGUUUAUAUCCAGCUUUGCCACUUCAAACACCUUGUAUCAAAGCAAUAUCACCAAGUGAAGGAUGGACUACUGGUGGAUCAACUGUGAUAAUUGUUGGUGAACAUUUUUUUGAUGGUUUACAAGUUGUUUUUGGUUCUAUGCUUGUUUGGAGUGAGUUAAUUACGGAUCAUGCUAUUAGAGUACAAACACCACCACGACAAAUACCAGGUGUUGUUGAAAUAACGUUGUCAUAUAAAAGUAAACAAUUUUGUAAAGGUUCACCAGGAAGAUUUGUUUAUGUUUCAUUGAAUGAACCAACAAUUGAUUAUGGUUUUCAAAGAUUACAAAAAGUACUUCCUCGACAUCCUGGUGAUCCAGAUAAAUUACCAAAAGAAAUAUUAUUAAAAAGAGCUGCUGAUGUAGCUGAGGCAGUAUGUACAAUGCAAAGAACACAUACAACUCCAGCAAUGUCAGGUGCACCAAGAAGUCCAUCAAAUCAUCCAUCAGCACCACCAACAUCUACAUCAAAUACAGCAUUUAAUUCUUACACAGGACAAUUGGCUGUUUCAGUGCAAGAAAAUGGUAGUGCAUCAAAGUGGACAGACGACGGUGGCUCAGUGAGCAGGAGUACUGGGUGUGGUGGAGGUGGUGGUGGAUCAAGUGUAGGUGGAAGUACAACAGAUACAUAUAGACAAAGCAGUAGUGCAAGUCCACGUGGUAUUGUUAGUAGUGGUGGUGGUGGUUAUUGUGGAAGUUCAGCAAGUACACCACAUAGUCACAGUACCAGCGGAAGUUAUUCUGUUCCUAAUCCAUAUACUGGUAGUCCAACACUAUACACUUCACCACAUGAUCAAUAUGGCAUUUUCUAUUCAUCCAGUGACAUGAGUGCAUUCGCCCCUGUUGUCCGACCACCGACUACCUCAGUCCCACCGCAUUGGUCCAUACAGCAUCACCUUGCAACAGCUGCCCAGUAAAACCGCUAACCAUUCACUAUAUCAUCAUAUACCCAUGCUUGAUACACUGAUUUAAAAAAUAUAUACUGACUAUGUUGCAGGGCUAGGAGAUGUGGUUGGAUCACCAUUUAACAUGAACCCAUUUAUGCUGCCAACAUGUAGUCAAGGAUACACGAGU
rnacentral:misc_RNA from 1 species